rnacentral:lncRNA from 1 species
UAGGCAGAUCAAAUUUUCUAUUUCUGUGCCUCCAAAUGCCCACAGAAAUAAUAAGACAGGAGGUUUCUUCAGCUGACUCCAAGGACAUACAUACCCUGAUUUCCAGAGUUUGUACUAGGAGUGUUGCCAGAAGGACUUUACAGUAUUUUCCCUACUUCGCACAGAUGUGCAGCAGCUAGAGGUGAGGCCACCAAAUAAAACCCAAGCCUGUCUCCGUGGAUUGGAAAGAGGAAGUUUUUAACUGUUUGGAGGGAAAUUGCUGUAGCGCUCCCUCCUGAGCAAGGUAACAGGAUUUAAUUUAAAACAUUUACAGGACAUCAUAUACGACUUCUUUCUGUUCAUUUCUUGCUACUGUUAGAGGGAUGGGAUUUUCCUUUUUUCGGUUGUUUUAUUGUUGUUCUAGACAUUUCCAAAGGAUCACUGUUGAAUGGCUUAGUGAAUCCCUAAAUUUGUAUGUGUCUAUGGAUUUUUCUAUAUUCCAAGC